AUGACUAGAUGUAGAUUCUACUAAUUCUAAAUUAAAUCGUGUAGUAUAAUCAUACUCAUAGGCCUGCUACUACUGCUAGUUAUAUUUUUGCCAAUCAUUAAAUAACUAAAAACCGAAAAGUAAAACAAGUACAAAAUAUUGAUAGUCUUACUGAAAGCACAAAUUUCCGAUAAUAAUUUAAUUAUAAGUCAUGGCUGACAUCAACAAAACAUCGAAGGUCGGCAACGACAUAGCAGCAACUAAGUUCGAAAAAUUAUUUAUUAGCAAAGCAGAAAGCCUAAACUCCAGAAAAGGGAAGCAGCUUAUUGCAUUAAAAGGAAAAAAUAAACUUGUUGGUCUUGUUUUGACGGGCAGUGUAAUUGGAAUUUAUGCAUAUACAAUGUUGUCAGUAAAGCAAACAAAAUUGAUGGAAGCUUUUGAUAAAGUCCCAGAAUGAAGAAUUUACAAAACAGCGCUGUGAUUGUGAUGCAUGCAUGAGCUAAAAAUGGAGAAAUGAACUUGCAGAAUUACACAAAAUUUCAACCAAGAUUUAUUCUUCUACUGUUCAUUAUUUGCAGUUGAAAUUAGCUUAUAUGUCUACUCAUUUUCUUUAAGAUUUAUUUCUAUAAAACUAUGUUCAUUAUAAAAAGCUAGGCCUACCACAUGUAGUUAUCAAAUUUGUAUUCAAAUUAAGGAUUUAAUGUCCUUUUCUGUUAAUAUUUUUUCAUUAUGCGGUUGAUUUUACAUGUGUUAAAAUGAUAAAAGAAUGUAUGUUGUAAUGCUUAGAAUGACUGAGUGAAUUUAAUGUACAUUAUUUAAAUUAAAAUAAUUUUCUGGUUUCUACUAUGAUCUGACCAGGAUACAAAUGUAUUUGUUUGAGCUGUAAUUGAUUUACUUGAAAUAAAUGUUCUCUUGUCUUUUUUUAAA